rnacentral:lncRNA from 1 species
CACCACCUUGAACCACCAUUAUUUUGUUUUUGGCCACCCUUCCUCCACCGUUAGCCACCACUAUUCGACCUAAACACCACCACUUCAUCACGAUUCCUCUUUUUCUCUUAUUCUUUUUGUUCCGCUACCGCCCUUAGCGCCACCCUCUACUGUUGCAGCAACUACCGUGCAACUCCUCUAUUUUUUUCUUAAUUUUCUCUCUUCUCUUUUAAGUGAGUGACCAGACUUAUAAUCUUUUCUUCUCCUCUGCCGAACCGCUACUUCUGUAGUCGGAUCACCAUCGUCGUUGCCGCCAUCGCCGCUACCAUAGCUCCAUUGCCAACGGUUGGGAUUCUUCCCUCUUUCUUGUUCAAUUUUCAACCUUUGUUAUUCUUUUUAGUAAUAAAAAAAUGCAUUAUUUAUUUUAAAUUAAUUCUUAAUUCUAAACUUUUUCAUGGACUUAUUUUCAAAAAUAGUUAUCUUAUUUAGAUCCUCAUUUCCUUUCUGAUUCAUGUUCAAGACGAUUUAUUGAUCCUCUAUUCUAAUCAUGAUCGUGUAAGUGUACGGGUUGUGUAGAAAUAUUUUUCUCCUCACUAUUUUCUUCUCUUGGCCGAAUGCUUUUGAGGGCCUUAGUCAAUUAUUUCUCAAGUCGUAACAUCUCAUAUGUCAUGUUUAUUGAAGGGUCGAUCGACGCCAACUCGAGAGACCAUUAAUGUGGG